UACGUAGGAGGCGAGCGUUGUCCGGAGUUACUGGGCGUAAAGGGUGCGCAGGCGGCCGCGCGCGUGGGUGGUGAAAUCUCCCGGCUCAACUGGGAGGGGCCAUCCAGACGGCGGUGGCUUGAGGCUCGGAGGGGGGCGUGGAAUUCCGGGUGGAGCGGUGAAAUGCGUAGAGAUCCGGAGGAACGCCGACGGCGAAGGCAGCGCCCUGGACGAGAACCUGACGCUCAGGCACGGAAAGCUGGGGGAGCAAACAGG
rnacentral:rRNA from 1 species